rnacentral:rRNA from 1 species
AUUGAACGCUGGCGGCAGGCCUAACACAUGCAAGUCGAACGGUAGCACAGAGAGCUUGCUCUCGGGUGACGAGUGGCGGACGGGUGAGUAAUGUCUGGGAAACUGCCCGAUGGAGGGGGAUAACUACUGGAAACGGUAGCUAAUACCGCAUAAUGUCGCAAGACCAAAGAGGGGGACCUUCGGGCCUCUUGCCAUCGGAUGUGCCCAGAUGGGAUUAGCUUGUAGGUGAGGUAACGGCUCACCUAGGCGACGAUCCCUAGCUGGUCUGAGAGGAUGACCAGCCACACUGGAACUGAGACACGGUCCAGACUCCUACGGGAGGCAGCAGUGGGGAAUAUUGCACAAUGGGCGCAAGCCUGAUGCAGCCAUGCCGCGUGUAUGAAGAAGGCCUUCGGGUUGUAAAGUACUUUCAGCGGGGAGGAAGGGAGUGAGGUUAAUAACCUUAUUCAUUGACGUUACCCGCAGAAGAAGCACCGGCUAACUCCGUGCCAGCAGCCGCGGUAAUACGGAGGGUGCAAGCGUUAAUCGGAAUUACUGGGCGUAAAGCGCACGCAGGCGGUCUGUCAAGUCGGAUGUGAAAUCCCCGGGCUCAGCCUGGGAACUGCAUUCGAAACUGGCAGGCUGGAGUCUUGUAGAGGGGGGUAGAAUUCCAGGUGUAGCGGUGAAAUGCGUAGAGAUCUGGAGGAAUACCGGUGGCGAAGGCGGCCCCCUGGACAAAGACUGACGCUCAGGUGCGAAAGCGUGGGGAGCAAACAGGAUUAGAUACCCUGGUAGUCCACGCUGUAAACGAUGUCGACUUGGAGGUUGUUCCCUUGAGGAGUGGCUUCCGGAGCUAACGCGUUAAGUCGACCGCCUGGGGAGUACGGCCGCAAGGUUAAAACUCAAAUGAAUUGACGGGGGCCCGCACAAGCGGUGGAGCAUGUGGUUUAAUUCGAUGCAACGCGAAGAACCUUACCUACUCUUGACAUCCAGAGAACUUAGCAGAGAUGCUUUGGUGCCUUCGGGAACUCUGAGACAGGUGCUGCAUGGCUGUCGUCAGCUCGUGUUGUAAAAUGUUGGGUUAAGUCCCGCAACGAGCGCAACCCUUAUCCUUUGUUGCCAGCGGUCCGGCCGGGAACUCAAAGGAGACUGCCAGUGAUAAACUGGAGGAAGGUGGGGAUGACGUCAAGUCAUCAUGGCCCUUGCGAGUAGGGCUACACACGUGCUACAAUGGCAUAUACAAAGAGAAGCGACCUCGCGAGAGCAAGCGGACCUCAUAAAGUAUGUCAUAGUCCGGAUUGGAGUCUGCAACUCGACUCCAUGAAGUCGGAAUCGCUAGUAAUCGUGGAUCAGAAUGCCACGGUGAAUACGUUCCCGGGCCU